GUCGCUGGCUGUCGCCGCGCCGUUCUGGUUGUGGGCUGGCGCUGUCAGCGCAUUUGAAAAUUUCCGCCGUCUGCUUCGGUGGCCGCUGCUCGUAUUGAUUGCUUGUCGGCGGCACUCACGCAUACACAGGCACAGGCACACUCACAUACUCUUCUGACACGCAUAAGUAACUGCUAACACAAUUUGUAGUCUAUGGGUUAACUGUAUAACUGUAAAACUGUUAAAGCCAACAGCCUUUGUUGCCAUCUAUUUGCCGCGCCAAAGAACUGGACACGAGCGAGGUCUGCAGCCAAAUGAAUCUGAAAUAAUGAAACUGAGUGAAUUUCGCUCGAAAGAUGCUGCGAACACGAGCCAACAAAGCACGACACGACCCGACACGACACGAGCGCCCAGACCCGAACCAGAGCCCCACCAAGCGAACACGACAAAGCUGCUGUCCAAAAGCUUCGACUCGACUCGGCUUUUGUCGCACUUGCAGCAGGAGAGAGCGCAUACGAAUGGCUUGCGCAAGCCGAGGGGAAAUGGGCAACGGCCAAAGAGCAUCAGCAUCGCUGUGAGAGGGGCAAUGUAAACAAGGCAACAUUGGGAUGCUGUGGCUUUUAAUUAGCCACCGUUUGCAUAUUUCAGCAGCUAAGAGAGCUUGCAUUAAGAGAACACCAGGCAGACAGACAGAUAGAACGGGAGAGAGAGAGCGAAAGAAAGAGAGAGCUUUGCCAAAACCAACUAUGUGUGGGUGAGUGUAAUAACAAAUGCUGCUGAUAAGGCUACUGACCUCUGUGCCAGUGUGUGCAGUGGCGUCGUUUGCGCAAGGGGUUGCUGUUGCAGCUGGCUUAGCUUAGCCUGCCACACACACACACACACACACACACAGAGGCAGACACUCACAAAUCAGGUUGGCAGCUCGGCUGGCAUAACUAAAUGCCAAUUAAAUGCUUUCGAGUGUUUUCUAAAUAAGUUGAAUUUACACAAAUUUCAAAUUUACCGCAACUUGCGCUGCUUUUAAUUAAAUUAAUGCAUUGCCUACUACAGUCCAACUCUCGUCCUUCCCUCUCUCUCUCUCCGUCUCCUCUCACAGUGCUGCCCAUUUAAUUGUUGGCAUUUUUCUUGUGCUGUCUGGACAAACAGCUGUGCCAUCAAGCGCAUAGAUUACACAACAAACAAAAGCCGCCGCUCAGAGACAAAAGGCAGCAGCAAAGCAAGCUGAGCGAGCGUCCAGCGAAGGACUCUAGCAACGCCGCAGACCCUUGUCCAACUUCGCCUGGUGAAAUCCGAGCAGCUUUAAUUUGGCCACGUCAAACGCUGAAUGAAGGCAAAUUUGUCCAGCAGCAACAACAACACAUCUACAGAUUUGAAAAGCCUACAUUUAGGCGCACAUAUUAAUAAAAAAAAAAAAGGAAGACAAAUGCAGAGAAGACAACAAAACAAAAA